CUACGGGCCGCAGCAGUGAGGAAUCUUGGACAAUGGGCGAAAGCCUGAUCCAGCGACGCCGCGUGGGUGAAGAAGGCCUUCGGGUUGUAAAGCCCUGUCAGAGGGGACGAAGUUCUGACGGUACCCUCAGAGGAAGCACUGGCUAACUCCGUGCCAGCAGCCGCGGUAAUACGGAGAGUGCAAGCGUUGCUCGGAAUCACUGGGCGUAAAGGGCACGUAGGCGGCUUUGUGUGUCGGGUGUGAAAUCCCGCGGCUCAACCGCGGAACUGCAUCCGAAACUGCAAGGCUAGAGUACGGAAGAGGAAGGCGGAAUUCCCAGUGUAGGGGUGAAAUCCGUAGAUAUUGGGAAGAACACCAGUGGCGAAGGCGGCCUUCUGGGACGAUACUGACGCUGAGGUGCGAAAGCGUGGGGAGCAAACAGGAUUAGAUACCCCAGUAGUC
rnacentral:rRNA from 1 species